CAUUGCAAAGAAGAUGCAGGAGUGCGUUGAAAAGAAGGAUCUGGGGAAACGCCUGAAGAGGCCGCUUAAAAUGCCUAAGAGAUAUGAGUCUUCUUCAGAUGGUUCUGAUACAGAACCGGUUAAGAAAACAUCUUCAGAGACCAGCAUGGCAAAACAGUGCUUACAGAAACACAAGUCAGGUUCCACUGCUGAAACACGAGAUGUUGAAGAAGACCAUUUGAAGAGUGUACAGCUCCAGAAAGAAAAUCAGGAUCUUAAGGAAGAGAAUCAAAAUCUUAAGGAAAUGCUCUUCAAAGGCAUGUUAAAACAUUUUGUAUUAUAGCAGCGAUUGGGUGUCUGCUGUGUGUUUUGGUUCUGUGUUCAAAAAUACCUUUCUCAAUUUUCUUUUUCUGUAGUUUGAUGUAGGAUUUUAGAAAGGAAGUUUGCAGAGUUCGUUAUCAACUAUGCUGUUUUGGAUUGUGUGAUAUUUUCAGUUUUUAAAGUUUACAAAUUCUUAUUAUCUUGAAAAGGUAAAACAUUUUUUUCUCGAAAUAAAACACUGAAAUGUCUUAAGGUAAGAUUACUCAAACAAUUGAGGUAUAGGCACUGUCGCAAAAAAAAAUCAGAUUAAAACAUUAUCUAAUUUUUAUAUUAAGAGUAUUUAUGUCCUUUAUAUUUCCUACUUUAAACUGUACAGUUGUAUGUCCAUUCUGCUAAAGCUUCUGUAUAAUAUUUGUGUGUGUGUGUGUUUUUUUUAAAGAAAUGCCUAUGUUUUUGACCGAAAUAAAAGAGAUUUUGCAUAGAUCCAUGAACAAUAUCAGACGUUCAUCAACUCCAGAAGUGGAUCCUCCAACUACACCAAAAUCAGGAAAUUCAAUGAAGACCGGAAACCCAACCCAGGUUCUUGACAAGGUAGAAAUAUAUCCAGGUACUGGGGUGUUCUGUGACAAACUUGUGUGGGCUUUAGCCAACAAUUCACACACAGCAACAUCAUUUGUGCGCACUCUUCUUGUGAAUCUAUUCCCUUUAGAUGUUUUGCUGAAAAGUAACUUGAGAGGGAGGAGCAAAGACACCACAGAGCACAGACCUGCAUUAGAUGCAACAAAGAUUGAUGCCAUCUACAGAGCAACUUUGCAGAAGUGGCAUAAUACCCCACAGGCUGUUAUUGGCUCAGCAAUCAAUGGCAAGUUGGCUGAACUUCGCAAUAAAAGUAAACAAAAACUACAGCAUACAUGGACUCAAAGUGAGGGAGAUGUGAGCACUGAAUGAGUAUGUCAUAAUGUAGCCUUGAUUUAAUAGGAAUCCAAAUAAUUCCAGUUCUUCCAUUUCUCAUUACAUGUUACAGUUCCUAUUUGUGUUUUGCAAAUGGCAUGUAAGGUAUAAGGAGUUUGUGUAUAACAUGUUUGAUAAAUAAUUUCAAUCUGUUAUUUGCACACACACAAAAAAUAAUAUGUGGUAUAAUGUACACCAUUGUUUAACUUGGCUAUUUUGUAUAAGCUUUUCCAACAUGAUUAUAUGUUUUUGUCAUGUUAGGUUGCUUGUUGUUGUUCUUGGAAUAUUACUUUUUUUAUUUUUAUCAAACCUUACUAUUUUGAGUCUACCACUAUUGGAAGAGAAGCCAUUUAGAGAUGGCCCUAAGUUGUCCUAAAAACAGCCAGUGUAAACGCACCAUUAGACUUUUAUAACAUGCAGGAUCACAUCUCUGAGUAUUGCAAGCCAAAUUAUCAUUUAGAGAUAUAUCACAUUGCAUUUUAAGAUAUCUCGAAAUGAUGUAGAUAUAUUUACAGACUUAAGAGCAAAUUGUGCAAAUUGACUAAUAUAUUGUUUUCUUAUUAUGAAUGAAACAAAUGUGUAUAUGACAAGUUUUCAAAAAAUAUACUUUUGUCAUAAUGUCACUUUGUUUAAUAUGCUUAUCCUUUUGUUGAUUCUCAUUUUGUUAGUCAGAUUGCUAUCCCCACAUUAUUUGCAAUAAGGGUGUGCCAGUUAUUGUCCACAACUGUAUAAUGGGGAAUAAUAUGUGAUUACUUAAAAACACUUCAGUAUAAAUGUUAUUUUAAUUGUGUUUUUUAA